AGUGGAAAGCUUUUAUUAGUACUAACGUGUAUACUAAGCUGGUACUUAGAAAAGUUCUUGAAGCGUACAAUCGCAAAAUAAAUAAUUGAAAUAAAGAAUGGACUGAUUUGAGUGAGCUUUAUGUGUACAUAAAUAAAAAACAAAGUGAUCGAUUAGGCAUACAAAAAUACAUAACCAACAGGCUGUGCAUUUUCGAAUUUGAAUUUCUUGAGCGCAAAUAUUUGAACUCCAAACUAAAUUCGUUGCAAUGACGGUAAAAUGUGUGCUAUUAAUUAUUCUGGCAACACUGGCGUAUUUGGUAGCGCCCAUACAUGCGUAUGUUUUGCCAGAUCCUUGGCUGGAUAUUGACCCCGAGCUGCUCGGAGCGUUUUCUACGAAAUACAACCAAAGGCGCCAUCAUGUAGUGAAGAAAGAACUGAAGCCAGCUAACUACGAAUAUGUGGAAUCACUGCACGACUGGGUGCCUGUGUGAAGGGAUGUUGCAGCGCACUCAGUGGCGAAUAUAUUGUGCUUUAGUUAUAAGAAUAUGAAUUAGAAUAUGACAAAUUAAUUUAAGUAAAUAGAAAAUAUUUAGUUAUGUGCAUUUUUUUAACCACAAAGCUAUGAAAAAAUUGGUCUGAAAUGUGGAUAUUAAUUAAAUUUUUGGCGAUGAAGUUCCAUCAAGGAUCAGUGCUUAUCGAAGGUAUAGCGAAUUCAAUCGAUGUCUUAGAUUACUCCAAUACGAAUUGAGUGAAGGUCCUCCAAAAUCAGUUGUUGUUCCAGAAACUAAACUGAUGUUGUGCGUAAACUGGUAUUGCAAGAUCAUCUUGUGACCUAUCGUGAAAUUGAGACAACUAUAGAUAUUAUAUUUAACUGCAAAACAAAUUUGUUCACGUUGGAUUUCAUACAAUUCGUCAAUCGCUCAAAAAUAGAGUCAAUUGGUCGAGAUAAAUGUUAAAAAUUACAAUAGUGGUGUUUCGAAACACUUCUAUAACCGCACAUAUAAGUCCGAAAUUAAAAAUCAGUCGACUCUAUGGGUAUUUCCAGAUUAGCCGAUUCCAACAAAAGUUGUUCGCGCAGGAAGAACUUCCAAGCAAAUAGUUGCCUGUUUUUUUGGCCUUGGGACUGAACGUCGUCUUUUUAUGCCCGUACAAAAAAUAAACUAAGAGGUCAUCUUUUUCAGGACCUGAAGAGGUCUUUAAUGCUUUCGUAAUACGUGCUUUGGAGAUAUCAAGAUUAGCAGUGACAAAAGUGCUUCGGGAUUUGGUUCAAACCUAUGCAAAAGUAUUUAGAUCUUAAGGGGAAUAAAAGCAAUAAAGCGAUUAUCGAUGACUAAA
rnacentral:lncRNA from 1 species